UUCUUGCUCAUGGCCAAACUCUACUUGUCCUUAGUGUGAUUACGUCCAUGCAGUAGUUCAGGAGGCAAGCAGCAUUAGCCUGUGGAUGGGUCCGAAAA
rnacentral:pre_miRNA from 13 species